rnacentral:rRNA from 1 species
GAUGAACGCUGGCGGCGUGCCUAAUACAUGCAAGUCGAGCGAAUGGAUUAAGAGCUUGCUCUUAUGAAGUUAGCGGCGGACGGGUGAGUAACACGUGGGUAACCUGCCCAUAAGACUGGGAUAACUCCGGGAAACCGGGGCUAAUACCGGAUAACAUUUUGAACCGCAUGGUUCGAAAUUGAAAGGCGGCUUCGGCUGUCACUUAUGGAUGGACCCGCGUCGCAUUAGCUAGUUGGUGAGGUAACGGCUCACCAAGGCAACGAUGCGUAGCCGACCUGAGAGGGUGACCGGCCACGCUGGGACUGAGACACGGCCCAGACUCCUACGGGAGGUAGCAGUAGGGAAUCUUCCGCAAAGGACGAAAGUCUGACGGAGCAACGCCGCGUGAGUGAUGAAGGCUUUCGGGUCGUAAAACUCUGUUGUUAGGGAAGAACAAGUGCUAGUUGAAUAAGCUGGCACCUUGACGGUACCUAACCAGAAAGCCACGGCUAACUACGUGCCAGCCGCCGCAGUAA